rnacentral:rRNA from 1 species
GACGAACGCUGGCGGCGUGCCUAAUACAUGCAAGUAGAACGCUGAAGGAGGAGCUUGCUUCUCUGGAUGAGUUGCGAACGGGUGAGUAACGCGUAGGUAACCUGCCUGGUAGCGGGGGAUAACUAUUGGAAACGAUAGCUAAUACCGCAUAAUAGUAGAUGUUGCAUGACAUUUGCUUAAAAGGUGCAAUUGCAUCACUACCAGAUGGACCUGCGUUGUACUAGCUAGUUGGUGGGGUAACGGCUCACCAAGGCGACGAUACAUAGCCGACCUGAGAGGGUGAUCGGCCACACUGGGACUGAGACACGGCCCAGACUCCUACGGGAGGCAGCAGUAGGGAAUCUUCGGCAAUGGACGGAAGUCUGACCGAGCAACGCCGCGUGAGUGAAGAAGGUUUUCGGAUCGUAAAGCUCUGUUGUAAGAGAAGAACGAGUGUGAGAGUGGAAAGUUCACACUGUGACGGUAGCUUACCAGAAAGGGACGGCUAACUACGUG